rnacentral:lncRNA from 1 species
UCGCUAGGAUCGAAUCCCCCCUCUAUAAUUUAAUUUUCUUGAUACGGAUAGGGGACCCCUUGUAGGGGCUGAUUCGAUGGACCAGCUUCGUUCCCCCGGGGAGGUACUUGAUUAGCAGGCGACACACAUCUAGAUUCUGGCUUAUUCACCGACGUGCCCGUUUUUGCUGAGGCUGACGACUGUCUUUCCCUUUCGGUUGUUGGCCAACUCUCCAAUAUAACAUUGAUGCCGAAAAU